GAUGAACGCUGGCGGCGUGCCUAAUACAUGCAAGUCGAGCGGACAGACGCAGAGCUUGCUCCUCUGUCGUUAGCGGCGGACGGGUGAGUAACACGUGGAUAACCUACCUAUAUUACUGGGAUAACUUCGGGAAACCGGCGCUAAUACCGUAGGAUAUUGUUAACCGCAUGGUUCAGUAGUGAAAGACGGUUUUGCUGUCACCUCUAGGUGUAUCAGCUCCUUAUUGGGUUGUUGGUAAGGUAACGCAUUAACGAGUCGACGAUGCGUAACCGAGCGGAGAGGGGGAUCGGGCACACGGGAACGGAGGCACGCUCCAGACCCCUACGGGAGGCAGCAGUAGGGAAUCUUCCGCAAGGGGCGAAAGCUUGACGGAGCGACGACGCGUGAGUGAUGAAGGUCGUCGGAUCGUAAAACUCUGUUAUUAGGGAAGAACAAAUGUGUAAGUAACUAUGGACUUCUUGACGGUACCUAAUCAGAAAGCCACGGCUAACUACGUG
rnacentral:rRNA from 1 species